AUGCCGUGAUGGGGGCACGUAGUGAUGUGCUAUUGGAGGCGUUCCCAUUCCUCUGAGAUGGACUCAUCAUCGUGCUGCUGGAAGCUUGAAAUCUUGUUCCGAAGGGC
rnacentral:snoRNA from 1 species